UACAGAGGUCUCAAGCGUUGUUCGGAUUCAUUGGGCGUAAAGGGUGCGCAGGUGGCGAGGCAAGUCGGAUGUGAAAUCCCGGGGGCUCAACCCCCGGAACUGCAUUGGAUACUGCCUUGCUUGAGUACUGGAGAGGAGACUGGAAUUUACGGUGUAGCAGUGAAAUGCGUAGAUAUCGUAAGGAAGGCCAGUGGCGAAGGCGAGUCUCGUGGACAGUUACUGACGCUGAGCACGAAGGCCAGGGGAGCAAACGGG
rnacentral:rRNA from 1 species